AUGCAAAGAAGUCUGUGAUGCUCUUUGCUUAUCAGUUGAUGAUAUGUCUGAGUUUGGUUGAGGUCCUAUACAAGCUAAUCGAGCUGCCCAUGUAUUGGCACAGGAGGUAUGCUCUCUUGAGGGUUGUCGUAUUUUGUUACAGCACUAAGGUUAUGAUUAAAGUACUAAAUGUAUAGGACAACUUAUAAAUAAUAUAAAAUCCACUUUAUCCUCUGCUAUUACCGAUUUAAAAAAACUGCGCAAAAUAUUAUAAACUUUAUUUUAAAUUUCAGGUUUGGUAGAAAUAAAAAUAUAUAAUUUGCUGGUCAUGUAUUUAAUUCUAUGAAAUUUAACAUAAUUUCAUAAUUGAACAUUAUAUUUCAAUUAACUCUCCAUUAUCCUUAAAUUGAGCUUGCUAUUUUACUUAUAAGAAAUUGGUUUCAAUUCAAUUGAUUUCAAACCUGCCUUUUCCUUCCCCUUGUCUGGCUCAUUAGCUCUUACUUUUUCUUAAAUGAUGCUCAUUUUGUUGUCCCAUUACUGGCCAUUGUUUGAGAAAUUAGGAAACAAAUUAGAAAAAAAAAAAGUAGUUCUGGUUAAUUUAUCAUAAAAGAAACAAAUUGAACAUUAGGAAGAAGAAAGAUUCAUAGUGAUAGCAACAAAUCCAACAAACAAACCUACAGUACCUAUAAAGACACUGCGAGCCCUCACAACGCGGAGAUUAAAUUCUUUUACAGAUCGCCACAAACCGAUAAGAAUCUCCAAGCUGCCGUGCUCUUCUAUCAUCUUGAAUUGCUUCUCCACCUUCUUAAAGGAAUAGAUCCAGUUCUUCGAAUGAAUACCAAGUGCAGAAAGAAACCCAAAACCCAAAACGUUUGCAACAACCCAAAUAUUUUGCAUUGAUGCCUGUAUUGGAUUUCCAUUGAAAAGUUGAAUUGAUACCUCCGUCAAACUUCCUUCGAGAAUAUAAUAAAUCCAGUUCCCAAGCCCAAGUAGAACAAUUACAAUUGAAGCUACAAGUUUGAUAAAACCAUAUACGUUCUUCUUGAUCUUUUCCAAUUCCUUUCUGUUCUCAUUGGCCAAAGCAGAUAUUUGUCUUUCAACGGUGGUUCCCUCAAUUUCUUUGUGCUUGAAAUUGAGGUUCUUGCUUGGAUCUUCAGUUGGAUUUUGGGGGAUUUCAGUAUCAGAAGAUGAAUCUGAGGUUGAAAAGUUUCUGGGAUUUUGAUUCUUUAACAGGGCGUUUGUCAAAGUUAUCUCCUUUAGCUUCAAAUCAGAGACUCGGGAUUUCUCUCUAUAAAAUGUUGUUGAUGGAAAAAGUCUUGGCUUUUCUGCUGUUGACCUAAUAAAGUUAUGGUUUUUGGAUUUUGUAGCAAAACUUGAGUACGGUUGAAGAAAAAUGUUAUUGGAAGUUGUGGGUUUUGGCUGUGUUAGACCUUGGGAUUCAAAAAAGGAGAUGUGAUUGGGAGGGGUUGAAGUAGAUAUGGAGAAGUGAA
rnacentral:lncRNA from 1 species